GCACUAGUAGCUCAGUAAAAGAGCGUCGGUCUUGUAAACCGGAGGUCGGAGGUUAGAUCCUCCCUACUGCU
rnacentral:tRNA from 2 species